UACGUAGGUGGCAAGCGUUGUCCGGAUUUACUGGGCGUAAAGAGCGCGCAGGCGGUCGGAUCAGUCGAAUGUGAAAGCCCCCGGCUCAACUGGGGAGGGUCAUUCGAUACUGUCCGACUCGAAGGCAGGAGAGGGAAGCGGAAUUCCCGGUGUAGUGGUGAAAUGCGUAGAUAUCGGGAGGAACACCAGUGGCGAAGGCGGCUUUCUGGCCUGUUCUUGACGCUGAGGCGCGAAAGCCAGGGGAGCAAACGGG
rnacentral:rRNA from 1 species